CUGGUUGAUCCUGCCAGUAGUCAUAUGCUUGUUUCAAAGAUUAAGCCAUGCAUGUCUAAGUAUAAACACCUUUAUACUGUGAGACUGCGUACAGCUCAUUAAAUCAGUCAUUAUUUAUUUGAAGGUUUACCUUUCUACAUGGAUACCCGUAGUAAUUCUAGAGCUAAUACAUGCACAAGGGAGCGACUCGCAAGGGAAGCUCUGCAUUUAUUAGAUUCAAAAACCAAUGCAGGUUCUGCCUGGUCUGUGGUGAUUCAUAAUAACUGAGCGGAGCACACGGCCUCGCGCCGGGUGCCAGUUCAUUCAAAUUUCUGCCCUAUCAGCUUUCGAUGGUAGUGUAGUGGCCUACCAUGGCGCUCACGGGUGACGGAGAAUUAGGGUUCGAUUCCGGAGAGGGAGCCUUAGAAACGGCUACCACAUCCAAGGAAGGCAGCAGGCGCGCAAAUUACCCAAUCCUAAUACGGGGAGGUAGUGACAACAAAUAACAAUACUGGGCCUUUCACGGUCUGGUAAUUGGAAUGAGUACAAUUUAAAUCCCUUGAACGAGGAUCCAUUAGAGGACAAGUCUGGUGCCA
rnacentral:rRNA from 1 species